UCUACAAAUCUACCCCUCUUCGUGAUCGUGAGAGAAAAUGGGGAGACGAAGUUGUUGGGGAAAGAGAUGAAAAUUAAAGAGGAGAGAGAAGGAGAGAGAGAGAGGAGAGAGAAGGAGUUGUGAGGCCGGAGGAGGGUGGUGAGAGUGGCCGACACUCUCUGAAAACGCGUACUGUACACCGCGUUCGUACAUAUGGGGGCUUAAGCUUUAGGUCGUUCAUGAUAUGGGUUUCUGGAGAUUUCCUGCAAAUUUGAGGCUCCUGCAAUUUGAAACCUUGUAAAGUGAACAAGGAUUGAUCAGAAGUAAGCAACCCUUUUCCUUGCUGAAGGUUCUUGCAGUAAAUGUUAUCAAAUUUAUGUGGCAUGGUUGGUCCAGAGCAAUUGCAGUUAUUGGGUCUAUGUUUUCUGGCUCUGAUUUUAGGGACUCUUGCAUAGUUGGAUCAGUUCUGUUAUUGCUUUUGAAAUUGUAGAAACAAGCCAGCAAAGAGCUUAGUUUUUUUAGGAUUGUUACUGUGAGUGGCUGCGAGUGAAAUCUGAGACUUUCUCACUUGGGGAUAUGCAGUUCAUCAAGGUGUGGAUUCUAGUUUUCAAAUUCUUGCCACAUCAGAAACAAAUCUACCGUGGGAACUUAAUUUGAGGUUCCGGACGGCUUCCCAUCAUUUUCUUUACCUCUUCAGUAUUUGAGCUUUCACCUCUUCCUAAACCUUGGAUGUUGCAUUCCAUUCCGAGUUUGUAUCCAGACUGGACAGUGUGAUUGCCAUGCUUCUGAAAGAACCACUAGAAUUGGUCAUCGUGCCUUCCACCACGGGGCAUCACCCACCGGAAUCCCAAGGUUCAGGUCAGCGUCAUCGGUUUAUUAGAAAGGGUUAUGAAUCAACGGCUCAUUCUAAUCUCCAACAGAAAGCUUGCAUGAUCACAGUAGCUUGAGGUUGACGUUGAAGUUUCUAGGGGCAUUUGUCUUCAUAAAAUACUUUAUACUUUUGUGUUGCAGUAACCAUUAUUGCACAUUGCUAUAUAGAGAAGAGAGAUCUUCUCUGUGAACAAGUGCUUCUGUUUAUGUGUUUAUUGUGCACUCAAUAAAUUAGGACUGUAACUUUCAGCCAAUUUUUUUA